CGAAUUCAUCCUGGAUUCAUUAUUUCUCGUGUCCUUUUAUUGGCAGUGGAUAUAGGUGGAGGAAUAACGGUAACGGCUUUCAACAAACUAAUUAGAAACUGGGGCGACAGAAGUUCCAACAACUUUUACGGUUUCUCAAGUAAACCGUUAAACUUCGGUUAAACGAGAUAUCGACUUAUCUCCGCGAUUUCAAGGAAUGGAAAAUUAUUCAGAGAGUACAGUGGAGCUUCAUUUAUUAAAUAUACAAAAGCGUGUAACGUGUAUAUGGAUAAUAAUUACAAGGAGAUACGCGAAAGAACCUCGGAGAAACUCGGAUACGUUGUCCAUCGUGAAUCGAGCAGACCUUUUCUUUCUUUUUUUUUUUUUUGAUCCAAGUCCCGCGGAUGGAGGUCGAUGAGAAGCCGUUUCCAUGUUCACGAGAGAAAUCGUUCGAGUUGUCUUAAGUUGUGGGGGAGG